ACGGGUGGCGGACGGGUGAGUAAUGCGUAGGAAUCUACCUAAUUGUGUGGGAUAGCCUAGGGAAACUUAGGGUAAUACCGCAUAAGCCCUACGGGGGAAAGCAGGGGACUGUUAAAGGCCUUGCGCGAUUAGAUGAGCUUACGUCGGAUUAGCUAGUUGGUGGGGUAAAGGCCUACCAAGGCGAUGAUCCGUAGCUGGUCUGAGAGGACGACCAGCCACACUGGGACUGAGACACGGCCCAG
rnacentral:rRNA from 1 species